UACGAAGGGGGCUAGCGUUGCUCGGAAUCACUGGGCGUAAAGCGCACGUAGGCGGCUUCUUAAGUCAGGGGUGAAAUCCUGGAGCUCAACUCCAGAACUGCCUUUGAUACUGAGGAGCUCGAGUCCGGGAGAGGUGAGUGGAACUCCGAGUGUAGAGGUGAAAUUCGUAGAUAUUAGGAAGAACACCGGUGGCGAAGGCGGCCCACUGGUCCGGUACUGACGCUG
rnacentral:rRNA from 1 species